rnacentral:rRNA from 1 species
CCUACGGGAGGCAGCAGUGGGGAAUAUUGCACAAUGGGGGAAACCCUGAUGCAGCGACGCCGCGUGAGUGAAGAAGUAAUUCGUUAUGUAAAGCUCUAUCAGCAGGGAAGAAAAUGACGGUACCUGAGGAAGAAGCCCCGGCUAACGACGUGCCAGCAGCCGCGGUAAUACGUAGGGGGCAAGCGUUAGCCGGAUUUACUGGGUGUAAAGGGAGCGUAGACGGCCGUGCCAGUCUGGAGUGAAAGGCGGGGGCUCAACCCCCGGACUGCUCUGGAAACUGUCCGGCUGGAGUGCAGGAGAGGUAAGUGGAAUUCCUCGUGUAGCGGUGAAAUGCGUCGCUAUUCGGAUG